rnacentral:rRNA from 1 species
UACGUACGGCGCAAGCGUUAUCCGGAAUUAUUGGGCGUAAAGAGCUCGUAGGCGGUUUGUCGCGUCUGCUGUGAAAGACCGGGGCUCAACUGGGGGAGGUCGUGCGAUACGGGCGAACUGGAGGCCAGUAGGGGGAUGCGGAAUUCCGGGUGUAGUGGUGGAAUGCGUAGAGAUCCGGAGGAACACCAGCGGCGAAGGCGGCAUCCUGGACUGGUCCUGACACUCAUGAGCGAAAGCGUGGGGAGCGAUCCGG